UGGAAGUGAAUUUGAACUUUUAUAUGUGGAACACUAUUAAUCUCUUAGGAAUCCAGUGAGGAUCAGCAGUGAAGGCCCAGUGCCACUGUUUAGGUUGUGCAGUCCACCAAACGAGAAACUCGCGCUUGCUGCAUUGAGCAACGUCUGAGGCACUGAGCUGUCACUCGCAAAGUCAGUAGCCAAUGGGAAUGCACCCCUGGAAAAACCCACCCACGCCAGACGUUUGUGCCAGAAUUGCAAACAAAAAUUCAGGCAGCACAAAGGAGAGAGCUGCAGCGUAACAAAGCCUGAUCCACAAGUCUGAUCAGUGAGAAAGAAGCAGGGGGAGCUGUAAAAUAAAGGAUAUGUUAUCAAAAACAUAAAAGGCCAAUCAUUUACUUGAAUACACAAAUGAUUUGUUUGCAAGUUAUAAGUUUUACCUUUGAGAUGACUUUUUUUGCUUCAGUGUGUUUUUCUCUGUCUUAAAUUCAUGUCUUUGCUUGAUACUGAGGAAGUUUUGUUUGAGCUUUUUGGCACAAUAUGGAAAUAUUGAAAAGGAUGUCUCAUUUUUGAAAACAGCUGUCCGUCUCACAAAGCGUCUUUAUCAGAUCUUGUCGUGAAAAGUAACAGGCACCGCCAAACCAAACCCUUGGUCCCUUAACAUUCGAUCAAGUUGCUUGAGCAUUUCAAAGAUGUUACAUGCCACUUUUGGCUCAGCGGAGACUCAAGACAGUUUAUGCUCAAAUUUCCAACAAGACUAAAGUUAAAGAGAUAAUUCACCCAUAAUGAUUUUUUUUCUUUUUCUUUUCUAUUUCUUUCUUUUUUUUUUUUUUUUUUGUUAAGAUUUGUAUGUUUUUUGCAUAAUUGUUGUACCAAGUACUCACCAUGUGCUGCCCUCAGUCCAUGUUGAGGGUAGUUUUACAAGCCUUCAUGGUAAAAACCCUAGCCAUCUUUGAUCCAAUUGGAACUCUCAAGAGUUCCAUUAAAAAAGCUCACACUCAUCUCCACGUCUCCAGUGUCCGGUCAUAUGCUUAGUACAUAAAUAUUGCUAGAUGCGUGUUUUAAACAGAAUUUUUGAUAACAUUUUGCUUGAAGUUAUAGACCUCAUUUUACCCAUUGGCUCAAACAUGGCUAGCAAUUUUGAAAUAUGAGGAUGGACCAUCUUAAGCAUUUAACCCCAGCAUCCUUACAUCUUAUGCAUGACAUCCAAAACCCUGAAUCCUGACAGUUUCAAGGCAUAUCUGCAUCAGCCACAACCCAUAUCAGACACAUCCACACUGCAGCAGUUCAGAUCAGAACCAUCAGUGAGUCAGGUGUAUGCUUGGAGAUUGGAGGCACUGGAAGAGAAGUUCAGCACUAGAUGCAUCAUUAUGCAAGAUUUAUAAUAAAUAUGUUAGAUUCAGAAAUCAGAAAUGUUGUGGUACAAUAAUGGAAAAUAGCCUGUAUCAGGAUACAGUCACUCAUAAUCUGUUGUGUUAUAGAUUAAUGGUGUGAUGGCUAAUAUGGACUGUAUCAUGUCAGUACUGUCAUGGUAUUCUUUGUAGUUGCAUACUGUUAGACAAACACCAGCUAAUUUGGUUUGUAGAAGUUAAAGGUGCCAGGCAAUUUUGUAUGUUGGCAGCCCCAGACGGUAGCAUGUUCACUGUUGAAUUUUGAGGACUUCAUUACCCAGAAGUCCCACAAUGUGGAAGUGGUGACAAAGUUCAGCUGUCAGUAUUGCACACUGAUGUCAAAGGUCUCACGCUCAGUUCCACUGUACCUUCAGAUGCUCUAAUGACCAGAAGUUUAAGAGUCCAGCUGGAAACAAGUAAGACGAAUAGAAAAUGAGAUCUUUUUUUUUUUUUUUUUUUUUUAUGGAGAACUAAAAGUGUGCUAAAACUGAAGGUCCGCUUACCAUCCUUGUGUCCCAGUUAGCCUUAUUGCCGGAGAAAACAUUUUCCUGUCUUUGAGAUUUAAACAUGCAACUCAAACAUCCAUCCAUUUCCUUGUGAUAUUUUGAAUUAAGCUUUUGAUUAAAGCCAAGCUCACGGAGUUUAAAAAAAAAAAAAAAAAAAAUCACAUUUUGGACCCCACAAAUUUCUGUUUGGUGCUAUAUUCAAGUAAAUACCUUGCCUGGUGCAGAUUUAACAGAAGAAAGAUGUCGAGCUGAUGUCAGCUGUCCUGUUGCCAUAGUUCACUUGUCAUGUCCAAGAAUUUUUUUGUCUAGUUUUGAGCCGCCAGUUACGUGAUAUCUACAGUAUAUGGCAAUUAUGUAAUGAUAUGCAUGCAGAACAUAAAUAGCCUAAAAAAGUCUUCCAACUUGAUUUUCCUCAGAGACUUUUAACGUCAGUUUGAAGUGUUUAUGGUGUGCUCUGUCUUUAUCAUUCACAAGCUCUGUCCCAAGAACCUCAGUUUUGUGUAAAAUGUUACAUCACCACAUACAGUGUAACCACAGCCACACUGUUGUGUAGUGCUAAUGGCUUCCAGAAGAGACCCUGUGCAGGUUGGCAAAUUAGCAUUUGCCAAAUGACACUAAAUAUUUGGUGGGUGGAUUUUUGUUGGUGGAGGGUGAAAUAAAAUAGCCUGCAAUUCUGUGGAAACAGAGCUGGCGUGAAAAGGCCCACUGAAGCUACAAAAACAGCAAACAAUUUAAAGUAGAAACAGCUAAGAAAAGAAGAUUAUUUAAUAAAAUGUGGUGACAGGAUGAGAGGGAAAAAGGAAGAAAAAAAAAACAUGACUGCUGAAUUUAUGUCUAAAGCAAGUGGCACUUAAAUUCAUUUGUCAUGGGGACAAAAAAAACUGAAAGCAAUUAACUCUUUGAUUUCUUUCAAAGGUGUGGCAAAAAAGGUAAUUAACCAAUCAGGAAAAAAAUGUUGAAACAUCAGUAAACAAUUAGCAAAAAAAGAGAAAAUUACCAGAAAAUUACCAGAAAAUUUGCAAAAAACAAUUUUUAAAAAUUGCAAAAAAAGUGUAUUUGUAAUUGUUGAAAUUACUGCACAUAUUCAAACGUCAGAUGAGUGAUGUUGAAUUGACGUCAGAUUCCUUUAGCUUAAAUGCUUCUAUAAGGCCGUUCUUAAGCAUUUAAGAAGCAGGAGUCAGCCAACAGGCACUAAGAAUUUGUGGUAAUUGUAAUUAGCAAAAAAAAAAAAAAGUGUGGUAAGAAUCUGAGUGGUCUUUAAAAUGUGGGCAUCCAUUUGCCCCCCUGGCCCUGUGCACUUAUGGCUUGUAGCUGAUGACCAUUCGUUGUGUCUUAGCUGGUGGACCUUGAUGCUGGAAAAAGUUUGACACUUCCCAUUAAAGCUGCUUUGUAUCUCACAGCUCUUGGACGUGAGCUUAUAUUUGGUGUACACCAACUGUCUCUGUUUUGUGUCUUCAGACGGUCUGCUGGGACUGUCUCUGUCCCAGACUACGCUGCAGCGUCAGAGCAGAACAGCAGCUGACUCAACCCCAGCAAGCACCCUGCCUGCUGCCUGCUCAAUCUGAACUUAAGGAACACAUGUGAGGGUGAGGGUGGAAAGCCUUGAAAAAAUAUCCUACAAACACAGAAAUACUGAUUGUAAAUGUUAUACCCAAAUAGAAAUAAAAUAACUGAUGUAAACUCUCUCACCCUUAGAAAUCUGAACAAAUUCACCGGAUUUCUCUCAGAAACGUGGUGGUGGUGUUGGAGGGGAGUGCAAUUUAGUAAGAAAUGAAUCAAAAAUUAGCAAGAAACUACUUAGAAGUUAAAUUCUUUUUUUUUUUUUUUUUUAAUACAAAAAUAUCACAAGAUUAGCAAAAAGGUCAUUGCAAAAUUAGUAAAACAUUACCAGAGAUUUGGUGGUGUUGAUCCUCCGGUGUUACCAGACAGGACUUUUCAUUCAGAUGGAACUAAGAUCUCUGUAGGACUAUUUCUUCAGGGCUUCAAACACCAAACCACCCCCCCCCACCCCCCAGCUCUGUCACAUGCAGGUGCUUUGGUCUGUGGGCUUGUCCUUUGGUUGGUCAGUGUGUGGUUCUUGAUGAUGUUGUUUACGAUGUUUGCUUACAGGUACUGUUGCCAUACACUGCUGAAUAAACUGUGACCCGCACACGACUUCA